rnacentral:rRNA from 1 species
AUUGAACGCUGGCGGCAUGCCUUACACAUGCAAGUCGAACGGUAACAGGUCUUCGGAUGCUGACGAGUGGCGAACGGGUGAGUAAUACAUCGGAACGUGCCUAGUAGUGGGGGAUAACUACUCGAAAGAGAGGCUAAUACCGCAUGAGAUCUACGGAUGAAAGCAGGGGAUCGCAAGACCUUGUGCUACUAGAGCGGCUGAUGGCAGAUUAGGUAGUUGGUGGGAUAAAAGCUUACCAAGCCGACGAUCUGUAGCUGGUCUGAGAGGACGAUCAGCCACACUGGGACUGAGAAACGGCCCAGACUCCUACGGGAGGCAGCAGUGGGGAAUUUUGGACAAUGGGCGCAAGCCUGAUCCAGCAAUGCCGCGUGCAGGAUGAAGGCCUUCGGGUUGUAAACUGCUUUUGUACGGAACGAAAAGCCCCGGGUUAAUACCCUGGGGUCAUGACGGUACCGUAAGAAUAAGCACCGGCUAACUACGUGCCAGCAGCCGCGGUAA